UUGUUUUUUAGAGAUUUGAGGAGAAAUUCCCAGAAUGGGGAAAUCAGAGACUUGCUUUGACCUUCGGUUUCCGGCGGGUUCUGGCAGAUUCCUUUGGGGUUUUGGUUGCUGGGGCGACGCUAAUCCUCAUCCCUAACUUCUUGCAGCUUGUGUUGGCCUGUGGAGGAAGAAUUGAAGGUGAUUGGGGACGUGAACAGUAGCGUGAACAGUUGCAGCCGAGUUCUUGAUUUUGGGUUUGAAUUUCCGGCUAUUUCUGCUUGUUUUUGGUUGUUAUUGCAGGACGUUCUAAUCCCUCGAGCGAGGAGGACACGGGCAGGCAGCAGGAUUAGCUGCGAGACUUACCUAUUUCAGAUUGGCCGAGAUCGCGUCCAGGAACUUGAGGCAUAGGAAUCAACGCUUCCAUUUUUGACUGUAGGUUAAUACUUAACCUACCUUGUAUGAUAUCGGCUUAGUUAUGCAGCACUGCUCUGAUAACCUUCUAUUUUGGAGAAUGUUAAUGCUUGAAAAUCUGUUAUCGUAUUGAAGUUAAUGUGGAA